rnacentral:rRNA from 1 species
CUAUACCGGAUGUGCCGGAAGGUGAAAGGCUUGCUGCCUGAAGAUGAGCUCGCGUCUGAUUAGCUAGUAGGUGGGGUAAGAGCCUACCUAGGCGACGAUCAGUAGCUGGUCUGAGAGGAUGACCAGCCACACUGGGACUGAGACACGGCCCAGACUCCUACGGGAGGCAGCAGUGGGGAAUUUUCCGCAAUGGGCGAAAGCCUGACGGAGCAAUACCGCGUGAGGGAGGAAGGCUCUUGGGUUGUAAACCUCUUUUCUCGGGGAA